UACGGGGGGGGUAAGCGUUGUUCGGAAUUACUGGGCGUAAAGGGCGCGUAGGCGGCCUGCUAAGUCGAACGUGAAAUCCCCGAGCUCAACUCGGGAACUGCGUCCGAUACUGGCGGGCUUGAAUCCGGGAGAGGGAUGCGGAAUUCCAGGUGUAGCGGUGAAAUGCGUAGAUAUCUGGAGGAACACCGGUGGCGAAGGCGGCAUCCUGGACCGGCAUUGACGCUGAGGCGCGAAAGCUAGGGGAGCAAACGGG
rnacentral:rRNA from 1 species